rnacentral:rRNA from 1 species
UGGGGAAUUUUGGACAAUGGGGGAAACCCUGAUCCAGCCAUCCCGCGUGUGCGAUGAAGGCCUUCGGGUUGUAAAGCACUUUUGGCAGGAAAGAAACGUCAUGGGUUAAUACCCCGUGAAACUGACGGUACCUGCAGAAUAAGCACUGGCUAACUACGUGCCAGCAGCCGCGGUAAUACGUAGGGUGCAAGCGUUAAUCGGAAUUACUGGGCGUAAAGCGUGCGCAGGCGGUUCGGAAAGAAAGAUGUGAAAUCCCAGAGCUCAACUUUGGAACUGCAUUUUUAACUACCGGGCUAGAGUGUGUCAGAGGGAGGUGGAAUUCCGCGUGUAGCAGUGAAAUGCGUAGAUAUGCGGAGGAACACCGAUGGCGAAGGCGGCCUCCUGGGAUAACACUGACGAUCAUGCACGAAAGCGUGGGGAGCGAACAGG